UGGGGGAGCCUAAUCUGCAAGUCGAGCGAUGGAUUAGAGCUUGCUCUUAUGAAGUUAGCGGCGGACGGGUGAGUAACACGUGGGUAACCUGCCCAUAAGACUGGGAUAACUCCGGGAAACCGGGGCUAAUACCGGAUAACAUUUUGAACCGCAUGGUUCGAAAUUGAAAGGCGGCUUCGGCUGUCACUUAUGGAUGGACCCGCGUCGCAUUAGCUAGUUGGUGAGGUAACGGCUCACCAAGGCAACGAUGCGUAGCCGACCUGAGAGGGUGAUCGGCCACACUGGGACUGAGACACGGCCCAGACUCCUACGGGAGGCAGCAGUAGGGAAUCUUCCGCAAUGGACGAAAGUCUGACGGAGCAACGCCGCGUGAGUGAUGAAGGCUUUCGGGUCGUAAAACUCUGUUGUUAGGGAAGAACAAGUGCUAGUUGAAUAAGCUGGCACCUUGACGGUACCUAACCAGA
rnacentral:rRNA from 1 species